rnacentral:lncRNA from 1 species
CGGCUUCUCUGAAGCCUUUGCAGAACCCAGUGGCAGAGCUGGCUGUAGUUUACCUUCCCAGCCUACCCUGGAAGAGAGGAACUCACCUGCACAGAGACACUGUCUGUCUCCUUCCCAACUAAAGAGCAUGUGAUUUCAGACCCGGAAGGCCAGCUCUGGGGUGCUCCCUAAAGGCCCAUUCUCUUUUCUCACUGGCAGACACCAGGUUCUGACUCAACCUUGGCUCCUGAGCAAUGUGUAGUACCUUCUGUCCCCCCGGAGGUCCUCUUAACAAGCCCCAAACCAGGCCAUUUGCAGUGAUUCCCUCCCUGGGUCCUUGACGACGGAGCCUUGUCCACCCCGCUCUACUCGAGAGAAGAUUCAUGAGGCAGAACCAGGUGCUGAGGCCCUAUCGGUGAAGGCACCACAUGCGCGGUUUGCAGAAGGCUGAGAAAUAAGGCUCAGGCUGGGCUAAAAGUGUCUCCCCACUUCAAGCCGGCUCCCAUGGUGCCUGUCAGAAGUUGCUAUGAAGGUUGCUGGAUCCGCCACGCUUCAAGAUGGAAGUACCAGGAAAGAUGCACCAGCCUGUGUAAUGGUGAUGCGCGUAUGUGCGUGUGUGUUACUCAUUUAUAGAUAGAAUCAACUUUUCGAUUGGACUCAGGGAGAGCCACAUCAGGUGCUGGGGCCUUAGACAAAACCCUGUGACCAGGGAAGUCAUAGGCCCCAGCAGGGACACAACCGCCACAGCUGUAUUAAGUGAUGUGGCGGCUAAGAUGCUCCCCUCUGCGAUUGUGUUUGCUAUUAUAACGCUAUUAUAAUGGCUGUUUAUCAUCACCACUGUCAGUGUGUUUGGGUAUUUUCCUGUUUUUUCACGCCUUUCCUCAUUUGUGGUUUGUGUGUGUGUGUGUGUAUGUGUAAGGAAUACCCCGAGACUUGCGAUGCCGAGAGGGCUCAAGGUUUCUGUACUUUGCUGGAGUUGGAGAACAGUCAGACAUCUUUAUUACUCCCUCCAAGGACCACGGACCCCUGCAGAAAGGAGGGGUGGAAAGGAUACAGGAGCAGGAGGCAAAAGGAUCGGAGUGCUGUGCAGGGCUAUCCUCGGAGCCAAGCCGCCGCCUUCUUCAGGUCUGCUGGGUCUCUUGAAAACUCUCACUAUGGCCGGGCUUGUUGACUGUUGAUAUUCCUUUAUAUAGAAGGAGGGGUGGGUGGGUC